ACAGUACAUCAUCCCUAAACGAUCCAUACUUCCCUCACUGACACCAUGUGGCCCACCUCCCAUCUAUAAUCUAUGUCUGGGUGUGAAGCCCUUCCCAUAUGAUCCCCCGAAUGGAACUUCACAAGUUCGAAUUCACUGGGUCACAGUGUGAUAGUGUGAAGAUGGGAAGACGUUAAGGGACGGCUAUGGGUGAGUUAGGAAAUGUGUUAGGCAGGGUCACAGAUUACCACAUCCUAAAAACAACAUUUAAGGAGGGAGAUGAAAAAACAAUCAAUGGAUAACAUGACUUUUUUCCAGUGAAAGUGCCAUAUGUAAUCGUUCUCCAUUUUUGUUCUCUGAGCUUCUUUCUCAGGCAAAAUCCUUCUUGAGAAGUCCCUGCUGAGUAUUAGGAAAAUGCAUUUCAGGACCUCUCAUCAACACACCCUCUUUCUUUACAACCACAUAUGUGGGGGCAUAACUCAACAUGUGUAAAAGACAAUCUGCUUUUCACUGAACCUCCAGGAAUUCAGGACAAUAAACCUCUACAUGGAGACCAA
rnacentral:antisense_RNA from 1 species